rnacentral:rRNA from 1 species
UGCGUUGCUUACCUCCCUGCCCUCUGCACUCCCCGCCAGUCGAUCCACCGAUUGAGUGGUCAGA